GAUGAACGCUGGCGGCGUGCCUAAUACAUGCCAGUCGAGCGAACGGACGAGAAGCUUGCUUCUCUGAUGUUAGCGGCGGACGGGUGAGUAACACGUGGAUAACCUACCUAUAAGACUGGGAUAACUUCGGGAAACCGGAGCUAAUACCGGAUGAUAUUUUGAACCGCAUGGUUCAAAAGUGAAAGACGGUCUUGCUGUCACUUAUAGAUGGAUCCGCGCUGCAUUAGCUAGUUGGUAAGGUAACGGCUUACCAAGGCAACGAUGCAUAGCCGACCUGAGAGGGUGAUCGGACACACUGGAACUGAGACACGGUCCAGACUCCUACGGGAGGCAGCAGUAGGGAAUCUUCCGCAAUGGGCGAAAGCCUGACGGAGCAACGCCGCGUGAGUGAUGAAGGUCUUCGGAUCGUAAAACUCUGUUAUUAGGGAAGAACAUAUGUGUAAGUAACUGUGCACAUCUUGACGGUACCUAAUCAGAAAGCCACGGCUAACUACGUG
rnacentral:rRNA from 1 species